rnacentral:rRNA from 1 species
GAUGAACGCUGGCGGCGUGCCUAAUACAUGCAAGUCGAGCGAACGGACGAUAAGCUUGCUUCUCUGAUGUUAGCGGCGGACGGGUGAGUAACACGUGGAUCACCUACCUAUAAGACUGGGAUAACUUCGGGAAACCGGAGCUAAUACCGUAUGAUAUUUUGAACCGUAUGGUUCAAAAGUGAAAUACGGUCUUGCUGUCACUUCUAGCUGGAUAUCCGCUGCAUUAGCUAGUUGUUAAGGAAACGGCUUACCAAGGCUACGCUGCCUAGCCGACCUGAGAGGGUGAUCGGCCACACUGGAACUGAAACACGGUCCAGACUCCUACGGGAGGCAGCAGUAGGGAAUCUUCCGCAAUGGGCGAAAGCCUGACGGAGCAGCGCCGCGUGAGUGAUGAAGGUCUUCGGAUCGUAAAACUCUGUUAUUAGGGAAGAACAUAUGUGUAAGUAACUGUGCACAGCUUGACGGUACCUAAUCAGAAAGCCACGGCUAACUACGUG